AGGAGAGCACGAAGCUUGAAUGCCCUUUUAGGAGCCCUCAGUGCCAAGUCUAGCACCGCACACUACCUAGGGGCCCUUUUUGGGGCGCCGAGCGCUACUUUCCAGAUGCACCACGCAUGCUUGCUCCUUGAGUGUAGUUUAGCGUCAGUUUCAGUAUCACACACCACCUAGGCGCCCUAAGUGGGGCGCUAAGCGCCAGCUAGACGGGCCUG
rnacentral:lncRNA from 1 species